UACGGAGGGAGCUAGCGUUGUUCGGAAUUACUGGGCGUAAAGCGUACGUAGGCGGUUAUUCAAGUCAGAGGUGAAAGCCCGGGGCUCAACCCCGGAACGGCCUUUGAAACUAGAUAGCUAGAGUCUUGGAGAGGUUAGUGGAAUUCCGAGUGUAGAGGUGACAUUCGUAGAUAUUCGGAAGAACACCAGUGGCGAAGGCGACUAACUGGACAAGUACUGACGCUGAGGUACGAAAGCGUGGGGAGCAAACAGG
rnacentral:rRNA from 1 species